UGUUACCCCUAAUUACCAAAAUUGGAAAUGACUAGGGCAUAAAUCCCCAAUUAACUCACCCAGUACCAUUAACACAAAAAAAAAACCAAAAUUCACCUGAUAAAGUUUCCAUAAAACAUAGGGAAACUGAAAAAACAUGUACCAUAUUGAUUAAUCAAUACUUCUAACAAAAUGGGGUUUCUUCAUAACUGAUAAAACACAAA
rnacentral:misc_RNA from 1 species